rnacentral:rRNA from 1 species
CCCGUCCCUCCGGCCCGCCGCCCCUCGGGCCUCGGCCCGGGCGGGCGGAGGACACAUCCCGGCGCGACACGCGCCAAGGAACGACCGUCGGAACAGGGCUCCGCCCCCGCCCGCGCGGCGGGGCGGCGCCUCGCUCUAACUCGAAACUGUACGACUCUCGGCAACGGAUAUCUCGGCUCUCGCAUCGAUGAAGAACGUAGCGAAAUGCGAUACUUGGUGUGAAUUGCAGAAUCCCGCGAACCAUCGAGUCUUUGAACGCAAGUUGCGCCCGAGGCCAUCCGGCCGAGGGCACGCCUGCCUGGGCGUCACGCAUCGCGUCGCUCCGCGCCCCACGGGCGCCGGACGCGGAGAUUGGCCCCCCGCGCGCGAGCGCGGCGGGCCUAAGCACGGGCCGCCGGCGGGGACGGGCACGGCGAGUGGUGGACGGUAGCGCGGACUCCGCGCACGCGAGCCGGACGCCGUGGCACCCGGCCCCAGCGGCACGGGGCCCUUCGGAACCCCACAGGGCGCGCGAGCCCUCCCCCGGGACGGGCGAGCCGCCUCGCACCGCGACCCCAGGUCAGGCGGGGCCACCCGCCGAGUUUAAGCAUAUCAAUAAGCGGAGGAGAAGAAACUUACGAGGAUUCCCC